UUAAAAUGAUUUGGUACAUGUAUAUUUUAACAAUUAUAAAUAUUACCACCAAAAAAUACUCAAACUUAACUAGUUAUUUACAAGUAUUUAUCUAACAAGUUACACUAUAGACAUAAAUGGUUUAAAAUAUCAAAUUGCCAUUUUCAUUUUCACACACAUUAUCAUCAUCAUCAUCAUCUUAAAAAUAUCAUCCUCGACUUCACCACACACACAUACCCUUAUCACUUUCUCUCUCUCUCUCUCUCUCUCUCUCUCUCUCUCUCUCUCUUAAUUGUCCUUUUUCUUUAAAAAGAAUCACUAGUGCAUUUACUCUCUCUCUCUCUCUCCUCUUUAUCUCUCUAACCUGAAACUGAAAAAAGCUUCAACCUUUCAACCACUCACUUACUUCCAUCUCCGGCCAAAAAAACUUCAUUCAACCAACAAAAUGAGAAUUAAAAAAAUGGAUCUUCAUCACAAACUCAGCUUCAUAAUCUCAACAAUUCUCAUCUUUAUCCCAUUACCGGCAAAUUCACUGGGAGUAAACUACGGCCAAAUCGCAAACAACCUCCCAUCCCCAAACGACGUCGUUCCACUGGUCAAAUCCCUCGGAGCAACCAAAAUCAAACUCUACGACGCAGAUUCAAGAGUCCUUAAAGCUUUCGCAAACUCAGGAAUCGAAAUCAUGGUCGGAUUAGGCAAUGAGUACUUAACAAAAGUUCAAGAUCCAAACUUUGCUAAAGAUUGGGUCAAAUCAAAUGUCCAAUGUUAUCUUCCGGCCACUAAAAUCACAGCCAUUUUUGUCGGUAAUGAAGUUCUCACCUUUAACGAUUCUUCACUCACAAACAACUUACUUCCGGCAAUGGAGAGUGUUCACUCAGCUGUUACAGAUCUAAACCUCGAUAAACAAGUAACAGUCACAACAACUCAUUCCUUAGCCGUAUUAGAAUCCUCGUACCCACCAUCCGCCGGAAUAUUCCGUAAAGAUCUUAUUCCGGUCAUUACUCCGAUCUUAAACUUUCAUGUUAAAAUAAAUUCGCCAUUUUUAAUCAAUGCUUACCCGUAUUUCGCUUACAAAGGUGACCCAAAACAAAUCCCAUUAGAAUUCGUUCUUUUCCAAUCGAAUCAGGGGAUUGUUGAUCCUGAUACCAAUCUUCAUUACGAUAACAUGUUGUUUGCUCAGAUCGAUGCAGUUUACUCUGCUCUAACGGCUGUUGGGUAUAAGAAAUUGUCCGUACAUAUUUCUGAAACGGGUUGGCCUUCUAAAGGUGAUGAAGAUGAAGCCGGAGCUACGCCGGAAAAUGCUAAAAAGUAUAAUGGGAAUCUUUUGAAGAUUAUUAGUCAGAAAAAAGGAACUCCCAUGAGACCAAGUUGUGAUCUUAAUAUUUAUGUUUUUGCUUUGUUUAAUGAGAAUAUGAAACCUGGUCCGACUUCGGAGAGGAAUUAUGGACUGUUUAAACCUGAUGGGACUCCCGUUUAUUCACUUGGGAUUACUAAGAGUAGUAGUACUUCUUCUUCCUCGGGAAAUAGCUCCGGUUCUGGUUCCGGUGGGUACUCUCCGAUUAGCUCUGGUUAUUUUCCGUCGAGUUCCAACUCUUCUAGUGCUGGGUAUUUGUCCAUUUCCUCUGCUCCGCUUCCGGACAAAGAGAGGUUGAUUUUGGUGAAGAUGAUGAUGGUGACUUUGUUGAUGUUUUUCAUUGGUUUACUUUGAAGAAGUGUGGCAACAAAGGCUUGAAUUUGAUUAUUAGGUAGUGGGCGUUAGAAAAGUAUGGAGCUGUGGAAAAAAUAGUGUGAUAAAACAGAGGCGACUUGGGAAGUAGGGAAAGGAUAUCUUAAUAGGAAUAAUAGCAAUAAUAAUAAUAAUAUUAAGAUUAUUAGCUGUUCUUGCUGCUGAGGAGCUUUUGUUAAGAGAGACAUUGAUCACAGAUUCAUAAUUUAGUGUUAGCUUAGAUGAUUUGCUAUUUUCUUUAUUUUCAUCUCUUAAAUUAAUGAUUGUAUUUUGUACCAUUAUUAUUGUUAUUAUUCAUUUUAUAGUGAACAGUGUUAGUCACUGCAUCAAUAAAUAUUUCAGAUAUUGCUUUAA